rnacentral:piRNA from 1 species
UGAAAGGGAAACAAGGUGGCUCUGAGC